CAAAGAUACAAGAUAAUAGAAGGCGCAUAGCUGUUUCAAGAUGAAGCUGAACAUCUCCUUCCCAGCCACUGGCUGCCAGAAACUCAUUGAAGUGGACGAUGAACGCAAACUUCGUACUUUUUAUGAGAAGCUAUGGCGACAGAAGUUGCCGCUGUCGCUCUGGGUGAAGAAUGGAAGGGUUAUGUGGACCGAAUCAGUGGUGGGAAUGACAAACAAGGUUUCCCUAUGAAGCAGGGUGUCUUGACCUAUGGCCGUGUCCGCCUGCUACUGAGUAAGGGGCAUUCCUGUUACAGACCAAGGAGAACUGGAGAAAGAAAGAGAAAAUCAGUUCGUGGUUGCAUUGUGGAUGCUAAUCUGAGCGUUCUCAACUUGGUUAUUGUAAAAAAAGGAGAGAAGGAUAUUCCUGGACUCACUGAUACCACCGUGCCUCGUCGCCUGGGGCCUAAAAGAGCUAGCAGAAUCCGCAAACUUUUCAAUCUCUCUAAAGAAGAUGACGUCCGCCAAUAUGUUGAAAGCCCUUAAACAAAGAAGGUAAGAAACCUAGGACCAAAGCACCCAAGAUUCAGCGUCUUGUUACUCCACGUGUCCUGCAGCACAAACGGCGGCGUAUUGCUCUGAAGAAACAGCCUACUAAGAAAAACAAGGAAGAGGCCGCAGAAUAUGCUAAACUUUUGGCCAAGAGAAUGAAGGAGGCUAAAGAGAAGCGCCAGGAACAAAUUGCGAAGAGACGCAGACUUUCGUCUCUGCGAGCUUCUACUUCUAAGUCUGAAUCCAGUCAGAAAUAAGAUUUUUUGAGUAACAAAUAAAUAAUAUCAGACUCAAAAAAAAAAAAAAGAUUACAAGAUAAUAAAUAAAUAAAAACUUAAUGAGCUUUUCCAUUUUAACUAAGGAAUGGUAGUUUUAGACUUCUGCCACAACAUUAUGGUUGACAAAACAUUCUUAAUUCAUUUUAAAUAGAUCUGACUUUAGAUCCUGAAACAGCAAGUCAUAAUCUUGUAUAUCUGAAGAUAGAAUACAGCGAGAUUUGGAACGACAUCCCAAAGACUCAUGAUCCAAAAAAGACUAAUGCUGGUACUUCUAGAAGGAAGAGAAAGAGAACAAAAUCAAACGGGAUAGACCUAACGGUGUUGUUUGUAAGAAUUGUCUUCCCAGGAGAUGGAAAAAGAUACCAUCAUGAUAGGAUUCAUUCUUUAGUAUUCAGCUACAGAAAUGUAACAAUUUCGCUGAAGUCAUUACAGUAGGUAGAGUGGCAAGAGUUCUUCUGCUAAAAGUAAAACCCAGUAAUAUUAGGAUUUUUUCUGGACAAUGAAGUGGGUGAGGUUUAACCUUGUAACUUGAAUGCCAGGUCUCAUAUCUUUUCUUCAAGUGAUAUUUUUAUGAAUCUGUUUAGGUUGUUUCACUUCACUGGAACCAAGUACAAAAGGUUACAAAAAAAAAAAAAAGAAUAAAAAAAAAUAGGCUGUGUUUUCCACUGGGUGUGAUUUAGUGAUUUAUAACCUCAUAUAAUCGGUACAGUAAUAGAUUAUGAAGGAUGAAUUAUUUAAAAACUAUUUUCUAUUUUAUUGAGAGGAGCUCUACAAUUCUGAAUUCAGUCUCUACCACUUAUAAGCAGAAAAAAACUUUUUAUAUCAUUAUUUUAGCAACUAUCAAUAAAAUGCUAUUUAAAAAGGCCUACUCUUCAGAGAUGUAAUGGGAAUAAAUUGUAAAGUACUUUUGAUAUUCUGAGAUGAAAGAUAGUGUACUCAGUCAAUAUUUAAAUGCUUUCCACAUUAUGAAUUUUAUCAAAAUUAUGUAGUUAUUAGCUCAGUCCAGCAACAAAACAAGCUUACAUAAAAGCAAAAAUCUCCCGGGUCAUGCCAUCCUACGCCAAAUUCCUGGUAAACAGAGGCAUGAUUUAUUCUAGUGACCUUGCUAUUUCUCCAUGGCUGUAAUAUGUCUGAUGUUAGCCAUUUCAAAUUAACAUUGUAUUAGGUAAACUGAAAAUUUAGGUCUAUCACACCACCCAGGCACAUACUCUGUUUUUUCCCACAAAUAUCCAAAUAUAUUAAUGUAAUUUAGUUAAUAUGUUCAUAUGACUAUAUAAUUGUUCACAGCUGAGCCAGUUAGGUACUAUAAUUAUACUUUCAAUGGUACACAAAUUGUGUUUUACUGUGAUUAAAAUUGCCUGAUUUC